rnacentral:lncRNA from 1 species
UAAACCAUACCCAGAAUAUUUUAUCAACAAGGCAUCCUGAAUAAUUCAUACUGGAUAAUAAAAGGCGCAUCUGAACUAAUUCACAGAGGACCUGGUUGGAGGCCUGGAGAAAAUCGGCAGUCUCACAUGUAAACUUCCAGUUUAUUGGGAUGAGCUAAAAGAGUGUAUUCUCGACAAAGUCUAGCAGGCUCAGCAAUGUGGGUUGCGUGUGGCUUCUCAGGACUCCUAGGUCCUCCUGGGCACACAUGCUUUGCUGGUGGCAAUGGCACUCCUCCUGUCCAAGGAGUUCUGCCACAUCCCCCUCCCGAGAAGGAGCUUGCCUUGCUUCUUUCAACCAUGUCACUUGGAACUCCAGCCUUUAGCAAGCCAUAGCAACUGGGAUCAAAGGAUUUAGAUAUCAGGUAAUAUUUAAGACGUAGAAGCAGAAGACAAUGCUACAAUGUAGGACAAUAAAAAUACUAUUUCAAAUGUGUCAUCUCUAUACUGGCCCCAAAAGAGGAAUGAUAUUGUGAAAUUUCAUUAUACUGGGGAAUGGAGGAGGAGGGAGAAUGACUUCACUUGGAGGAAUAAAAGUACUGUCCUUCACAACGUCCAGAAGCACAGUUCUCCUUCUCUCCCAAAUGAACUAGCGUUGGUUAUUGGGAUCAUUCACUUGAACCGUAGCUGAGGUUCCUCCCUGGGAUUUCAAGACAUAUUGAGGAAACUCUGCCAUAGUUGAUUAAGAAAAUUAUCUGAAGUCUUCAUGCAGAGUUUGGUCACUGGACUCCUGCCUCGGAGGCACAAAGGCACAGAAUCAUAAGCGCUUCAUUUGCCUUAGCCUAGACGCACCGCAUCUUAAUAAGAGAGCUCCUCAUGUGUAGUGAUCAAGGUUCCUUUUGUAUCUCUUUUGAAGCCUGAGUCAAUAGGAAGAAUUGAGUAGAUUUUUAUUAAGUAUAUAUUGGCAUUGCUUUUCAUCUCUCCUUAUAAAACCUAGACAAGUGAUAUUCAAAAACUGAUCCCCAAAGAAGUCA